UAUAAAUACUCUUUAUCCUACUAUAUUAUUUGGGAAGUACAUUUUAAAUAUAACCUUAAUUUUUGUAAGAAAUUACAUAAGUAUGCCAUUAGAAAUAAAAUUUUAAAGAGUAAAUUAAUUUAUCUCUUUAAGGAUUAAAAAAUCAAAUACUAAUUUAAUUAAUUAAAUUUAAUUAAAAAACGAAAUACAUUUUUAAUUUUCAAAAAUAAUAACCAAUCA
rnacentral:sRNA from 1 species